GGCGUCGGUGCUACCCGGGUGAGGAGCGUGACAGCCACGAGGGCAAGAACAGAUUUGCGAUUUGCGGUGGUUCUCCACUCUUUAGCUGCUCUGGAAGCUGAGCUAGUGAUGAUAAAAGUUAUCCCUGUCUGAAUUUGAUCUUUCCUCUGUGGAAGCGUAACUCUGAGGCUCAGUGUUAGAGACACAAAGGUAAAGGAGUGGUUUGUUACGUGCACUAACUGUCCUCUUUCUCGGUUUCAGAGCAUGGCACCGUGUCAAGAAGGGGUAAAAACACUCCCUUGGCUGGGGAGCUGAUUUACCCACAGUGCACCUGCACAAUGGAGGAAAUGGUCCUGCAGGAUCCUGGGGCUGCUGUUGCCCAAAAACAGCUUUGGCCAGAGGACAGCUGCUAUGUUGGGCUUCAGGCUGGAGGUCAUAACAGCUUCUGACAGGCCGCCCAGCAGAGCUGGUGACAAGGAACGUCGUCAGAAAUCAAGGUUGGUUUGUGAAAGGGGAGGGAAUGGCACCACAAAUCAGGCACACUGGGGCUCUGACAGCACAGCUGUCUCCCAGGCAGGAUCAGGCACUGGGACAAGCACCUGGAGCUUUUGGCUUCCAAGGUGUAACAAGGGAAAGCAAAGUGGAGAGGCAACCUGAUGAUAAAUGGGAAAAGUAAAAGUUACUCAGUGCUUUGAGACCAGAGGGGCAGGAAUUGUUUCAGAAUGGACUUUUUUAGGAAAACAGUUACCAGCCUUGGUUUGUGGUUUCUCACAGAUGUAGAAGGAAGUUUGUUCUGGAAUGAGUGUCACAAAUGACUGCUGAUAUAUCAUGUGAAGUGGCCACAGGCUCCUCCUCACUGCUCAGUGGUUGCUGCAGCCACACCAUUGGAACUGAUCUACAGUUGACUGGAGGAAAAAGUGGUUCCCUGCUUUCUUCUGUUCCAGAAUAAAAUAAGUUGUGGAAAAUCUUACAA